GCCCAUGUGGCUCAAUGGAUGAGGCGUCUGACUUAUAAUCAGAAGAUUGUCGGUUCGACCAUACCCGUGGGCU
rnacentral:tRNA from 1 species